rnacentral:rRNA from 1 species
GACGAACGCUGGCGGCGUGCUUAACACAUGCAAGUCGAACGGAAAGGCCCUGCUUUUGUGGGGUGCUCGAGUGGCGAACGGGUGAGUAACACGUGAGUAACCUGCCCUUGACUUUGGGAUAACUUCAGGAAACUGGGGCUAAUACCGGAUAGGAGCUCCUGCUGCAUGGUGGGGGUUGGAAAGUUUCGGCGGUUGGGGAUGGACUCGCUGCUUAUCUGCUUGUUGGUGGGGUAGUGGCUUACCAAGGCUUUGACGGGUAGCCGGCCUGUGAGGGUGACCGGCCACAUUGGGACUGGGAUACGGCCCAGCCUCCUACGGGAGGCAGCAGUGGGGAAUAUUGAACAAUGGGCGGAAGCCUGAUGCAGCAACGCCGCGUGCGGGAUGACGGCCUUCGGGUUGUAACCCGCUUUCGCCUGUGACGAAGCGUGAGUGACGGUAAUGGGUAAAGAAGCACCGGCUAACUACGUG